rnacentral:rRNA from 1 species
GGAAUAUUGGGCAAUGGAGGGAACUCUGACCCAGCGACGCCGCGUGCGGGAUGAAGGCCUUCGGGUUGUAAACCGCUUUCAGCAAGGAAGAAGCGAAAGUGACGGUACUUGCAGAAGAAGCACCGGCUAACUAUGUGCCAGCAGCCGCGGUAAUACAUAGGGUGCAAGCGUUGUCCGGAAUUAUUGGGCGUAAAGAGCUCGUAGGUGGUUCGUCACGUCGGAUGUGAAAAUCUGGGGCUUAACCCCAGACCUGCAUUCGAUACGGGCGAGCUAGAGUGUGGUAGGGGAGACUGGAAUUCCUGGUGUAGCGGUGGAAUGCGCAGAUAUCAGGAGGAACACCAAUGGCGAAGGCAGGUCUCUGGGCCAUUACUGACACUGAGGAGCGAAAGCGCGGGGAGCGAACAGGAUUAGAUACCCUGGUAGUCCACGCCGUAAACGGUGGGCACUAGUUGUGGGAACCUUCCACGGUUUCUGCGACGCAGCUAACGCAUUAAGUGCCCCGCCUGGGGAGUACGAUCGCAAGAUUAAAACUCAAAUGAAUUGACGG